UGCAGUCGAGCGGACAGAUGGGAGCUUGCUCCCUGAUGUUAGCGGCGGACGGGUGAGUAACACGUGGGUAACCUGCCUGUAAGACUGGGAUAACUCCGGGAAACCGGGGCUAAUACCGGAUGGUUGUUUGAACCGCAUGGUUCAGACAUAAAAGGUGGCUUCGGCUACCACUUACAGAUGGACCCGCGGCGCAUUAGCUAGUUGGUGAGGUAACGGCUCACCAAGGCGACGAUGCGUAGCCGACCUGAGAGGGUGAUCGGCCACACUGGGACUGAGACACGGCCCAGACUCCUACGGGAGGCAGCAGUAGGGAAUCUUCCGCAAUGGACGAAAGUCUGACGGAGCAACGCCGCGUGAGUGAUGAAGGUUUUCGGAUCGUAAAGCUCUGUUGUUAGGGAAGAACAAGUGCCGUUCAAAUAGGGCGGCACCUUGACGGUACCUAACCAGAAAGCCACGGCUAACUACGUGCCAGACAUANGCCCGGUAAUAAAA
rnacentral:rRNA from 1 species